rnacentral:rRNA from 1 species
GACGAACGCUGGCGGCGUGCCUAAUACAUGCAAGUUGAGCGCUGAAGGUUGGUACUUGUACCGACUGGAUGAGCAGCGAACGGGUGAGUAACGCGUGGGGAAUCUGCCUUUGAGCGGGGGACAACAUUUGGAAACGAAUGCUAAUACCGCAUAAAAACUUUAAAAACAAGUUUUAAGUUUGAAAGAUGCAAUUGCAUCACUCAAAGAUGAUCCCGCGUUGUAUUAGCUAGUUGGUGAGGUAAAGGCUCACCAAGGCGAUGAUACAUAGCCGACCUGAGAGGGUGAUCGGCCACAUUGGGACUGAGACACGGCCCAAACUCCUACGGGAGGCAGCAGUAGGGAAUCUUCGGCAAUGGACGAAAGUCUGACCGAGCAACGCCGCGUGAGUGAAGAAGGUUUUCGGAUCGUAAAACUCUGUUGGUAGAGAAGAACGUUGGUGAGAGUGGAAAGCUCAUCAAGUGACGGUAACUACCCAGAAAGGGACGGCUAACUACGUG